rnacentral:lncRNA from 1 species
CCUUCCUUUGGCAUGCGCAAAAAGAGAGAGAGGGUGCCAAAAGUGGGUGCCCCUCUUCCCUGGGCUUCUCUCUCUCUUUGCCAUGUGGGAUUGGAUUAGUUCCAUCUGAAUUUGAAAUUCUUAUCAGAUAAGAGUUCAAAUUUAAUUGAACUCUAUCUCAUCCCCUUGGUUGCCAUCUAUAAAAGAAAGGGAUCUCUUGGGUGUGGUGACUAUGACAAGCCAUUAAAUCUAUCUCAGCUGCCUCCUUCAUCCUCUGUCUCCCAAAUUCCAUAUGCACAACCCCUUAGUCGGCCAUAGAGAGAGAGAUCAAUGAGAGAGAGAUCAAAAAGAGAGAGACAAGAAAGGAGGAGUUCUCCAUCGCCUCUGUUCUUCCUUCGAUCCUACACAAAAGAAGUUUGCGUGUAGAUCAUUUGCAGAUCCUCUUUUACGACAGUCAAAGAAGGAGAUUAGAUCCAAACCAGCGAAGUGGAGAUCUAAAAGACUGCUAGUACCUCGAUGAUCUCUGGUGCUUCUGAUCUGCUUCAGUCUCACGUGGAUAUCCGUAUAGGUAGGAUGCGUGUAUGGCUUCAACAGAACCUACAAACAUCCUCAGAUCCAGAUCUGAAGAAGAAGUUUAGCGAUUCAGGUAGGUGAUCUGAUCACUCAGAUUUAUUUUGUUUAUCAAAUUAGAUAUAUGUUAUCAUUUUAUUUUUAUCAUAUAAACUAGAUCCAUAAGUGUAAGAUUAGAUCUAUGCAUGCGUAGAUUAAAAUUGUUUUAAUCUGAUCUGUCGCUGUACAUUUUUGAAAUUAUUUUGAAAAAUCUAUAUGCAUGACACCUCGAAACUCAAUAGUGGUAUUAGAGCCACGAGUUCAUAUGCAUGAAAAUAAGCUGAGAUCUGAUUUCUAAUCAGAUCUGAAUUCAUAUGAUUAGAUCUAAAUUGAUAUGAUUAAAUCUGAAUUGAUAUGAUUAUAUUUGAAAUACAUAUAUUUUUGAAAAGUAUUUUCAUAUUUAGAUCUAAUUUUAUUCAUGUAUGAGAUGUAUGAAUAUUAGUUUAGAUCUGAAAUAUGUAUAUUAGUUCAACAUCGAUAUGCAAUAAGGUGGUCCUGGCAUAAGGUUUAUCCAUUAUGCUGCAAAGGUUGUCCUAUAUCGAUAUUGAAUGAUUUUAGAUCUGAUCUUUAAUCAUGUAUGAAAUAUAUGAAUGAUUACUUAGAUCUGAAAAAUAGUUUUGAGAUCAUAAUAAGUUAAUUCAUACAAAUAUUUUAGAUUUAAAAUUUAAAAUUUAGAUCUAAAAUUUAUGUUUAUGCAUGAAUCGUUGGAUAUGGAUAAAUCAGAUUAGGUCUAGUAUUUUGAUUACACCUAAAAUUUUUGAUUUGAACAUAAUGAAAUCCAAUCGAGAUGAGCGGUUGAUCCAACUAAAUCAAGAAUUGAUUAGGAUUAGAUCAAGAAUGCUCAAGAUCAAACCAAUAGUUAUAGUUGGUCAAGUUGAUUGACAUCCAUAUGUUAAAUUGAUUGAUCCAAAGACCUGAUUCGGCUCAGUAACUCGAGUUAGAGUCACUUAAGCUAACCUAUUUGAAAUCAAUUAAUCAAUUGGUGUCUAUGACAAGUGUUUGAAAAGUGAUUAUUUAAUUAGAACAUUGAUCCUUCAAGGGGGUGCCUUUCAUCGAUUUUCACUUAUCUGACCAAUUUGAAAGAUUGUAUCUUGAAAAGGUUGCUUGAUUUUUUAGUUUAGCCUAUGCCAAUUAGACUAGUCAUUGUGAUGACUAAUUAGAUGAGACCUAAAUUAAAACCUCCUCGCACAUAUUAAGUUUAACGAUUUUCCACCAUUACAGAUGUGCGAGCGUCCUAUUGGUGUUGAUUAUUCUCGAUUAGUCAUAGUGAUUCAGUUGCAUCGAAAAUAUACAAUCACUCUAUUAGCAAAGGGUUGUUGCAGGGUGAUGAUGGUAUUGGGCCCAAUAUCUGUUAGGUGAGAGAUCCAAUGAUGACUUCACUCUUAUAUUGAAUGGUGGGUCUGACUUAACUAAGGAGUAUAGCCAAUAUCUGUCAGAUGAACCCACAUGACAUAAAGAUCGAAUCACUGCAAUAUGCUUAGAGAAGCAUUCGAUAAGAGUUAUCCAUUCAUCGGUAUAUGUGUUAUCAAUAUCUGUCAGAUGAGAUGCACACACAUUGAUGGGACCAUAGUACCCAUUAAAAAUCUUUAUCCUGUUAAGAUUUUCAUUUCUUUAUCCAGAGAAUGUAAGAGAUCCAAAAAAAUGGUGAGAGCCUAUUUAUUUCUUAGAGUCUCUAAAAUAAAUAUAAAAUUAAGUAUAAAAUCUAACUAGAAGCUUUACUCUCGCAGUUUAACCAUGUCAGCUCCGAACUCAUUAGCCCAUAUCCCAGAGUCCAAUAGUCUAAUCAGAACCAACUUCAAGGACUGGCUCAGAAACCUCAAGAUAGUCUUGGUUUUGAAAGAGGUAGGGUAUGCACUUGACUUGGGCCCCCCUACUUUGCCAAGCCAUCCUAGUGCUGAACAGAGGGCAGCACAAAAACAAUGAACGGAUGAUGACAAUUGGGUUAAAUGCUACAUACUGACUUUAAUGAUAAAUGAAUUACAGAGCUAGCAUAAGCACAUGCCAAUUGUCAGAGCUAUAAUUACUCAUCUACAAGAGCUGUAUGAUGAGCAAAGCCAUACUGCGUGUUUUGAAGUAUUGAAGAGACUCUUCAACUCUAAAAUACGUGAGGGGCAGUCGGUCUAUGAUCACUGUCUGACUAUAAUCAAAGAUCUAAAAGAGCUUGAGAAGCUUGGCCUAACAAUGCAGAAGGAAUUACAGGUGGAUCUAAUGCUGCAAUUCCUUACUAGUUCAUAUGGUCAAUUUAUAGCAAAUUAAUAUUUGAACAAGUUGGAUUGCACCUUGCCCAAACUUGUCAACAUGUUGGUUACUGCAGAGGCGACCUUGAAGAGUUCAAGGAGCUCCAUUCUUGCUAUAAAGCAGGCACCUUCCUCCAAAAGUAUUGCCCAGUUAGACAAUCCAAGAGGAGAGGGAGGGUGAAUUAGGUUUUCCAAGAUUUAAGCAAGUAUGUGCUGAUUUUUCAAAAUGAACUAAAAAGAUGUAGUGAAUAUGCAGCAAAUACAGUGAACAGUAGCAAAAAUAAAUCAAUAGAUGCUAAACAAUAAGUAAAGCAAGUAAAGAUAAGCAAGCUACAUAAAUACAAGAGAUUUUAUAGCAGUUCGAUGCACUCCAAGCACCUACGUCCACUUCUCAAGCUUUACUUAAAAAUUUUCAUUAUAAUCUACUGAUUACAGUAUAUUUGUUUUAGUCGAAAUCAUAAAUAAAUCCAAUUAAUUUUUCAGACUCACUAACCAUAACCUUACAAUCUUUUUUUUAGGCUCACAAUCCAAAUUUCAAGCUUGGACUAUACCUAUUUCCCUAGUUUCAAUCUCUUCAAACUUGUUACAGUAUAUUUUAGCAAGAAUAGAAAUUACAACACACAAAGCUCCUCAAAAAAGUAAAUAAAACACUUUGAAUGUAGCUUGAAGAUUGCUUGAAUGCUUAGUAUGAGAAUGCUCUCUCUUCUCUUGAUGAUUAGCUUCUCAAAGAUUCAAAAACUCUCAGGUUUGAAGGUGAAAAACACUCUUCAAGGCAUUAAAGGUUGAAAAUAGGCUAUUUCUCUUCAAUAGGUUAUUCUCAGUAGUCAAUUAGGCUUCUCCUUUAUUAAAAUAGCUCUCCUUUCUAUUUAAAGCAAUUUAAAUUCAAAAACUAGCUGUUUCUAGAUAUUGAGGAUAGUUUUCAGCUGUUUGAAUGACUUUUGGAUGCUUCUUCGACAGAUUUUAUGUAUUCUAUUAUGGCUAUAAGAAACAAUCGAGUCGGCUCGAAUAGUCCAUGAGUCGGUUCGGAUUCAACAUGAGUCGACUCAAAAUAUUUUGGAGUUAGCUCGAUCUCAGUGUGUAGAAAAUAGCUCUCUGUCCUGUGAAUCGAGUCAGCUCAAAAUAUUUUGGAGUCGAUUUGAAAGCAUGCCAACUCUGCAUGCCACAACCUGUUUAUGCCAAAGUCGACUCGAAACAUGCUGAGUCGACUCGAACUCCUCCAUUUAGCCCUUCUCAAUCAAUUUCCAUCCAAACUUAAUUUUUCUUGAUUCCAAAGCUUUCCAAGUAUUUUUAAAUCACUUCAAAGUAUAUCACAAGGAUUUGCCUUCUAUAAAAAUAUUCUUAACCAAGCUUUAAAGAUAUUAGUCUCUUUUUAUAUUUCAAUGUCAUGUAAUCAUCAAAAUUAUUUUUUGAAACAACAAUCUUUCUCUUUUUGAUGAUGAUAAAAUAUUAAGUAUAAAAGUAAAUAAGUAAAAGAUCAUGCUAAUAUAAUAUAUUAUUUUUAAUUUCAGUAAAUCAUAAGAGUGUCACAAGAUAGAAAAUUCAAAUAUUUGAGAUUCAAAUAUGAGAUAUCGCAUAACAUUCAAGAAAACUAACAUCUUUUUAAUAAUUUUCUCUCUCAUUUUAUAAAAAAUUCAGAAUAGAUUAAUCUCCUCCUUAAUGUAAUGUUGAAAAUUUUUGGCAUGCCACCAGAGAAGAAUCCUUCUCAGAUAAGGAAGCCUUCAUGCGGUUCUUGAUUUUUUGCAUUGAAUAUUAAGUGCUAAAAUUAUUUUGGCAUAGCAUUGAUGAGAAUCCUUCUAAGAGAAGGAACUCUCUCACACUUCUUCAUUUCUUUUUUGUUUGAAAGAGUUUUAGAUUUAGAAGGAGAUGAUCCCAUGAGUCACAUAUUCCUUUUUGGUGGAAUUUAAUAGAGAGUAGGACUCUUUCACGCCACAUUAUUCCAUGGCUUUUCUCCACACAUGAAAUGGUUUCACACGCACAAGGAAGAAGGUUUCACGCCCUUUGGUGAUUUGGUCGGCCAAGAGUUGGUCUUGUAAGGAAAACUCCAUGCUGAAAUAGAAAGGGGUUUUUCUUGAUCCAAGUCUCCAUGUGAAGAAUGUCUUCACAUCCCUGUAUAAUCCAUGCUAAAAUAGAGUAAGAGGUUUCACGCCUCUUACUAUUUUUGGCGCCUUAAGGGAGAAGUCCUUCUAAGAGAAGGACUCCUCCAUAUCUUAUGCCAAAAAUGAUUUUAUGCUGUUGGAUUUGAUGUCCAAUGGUUGGGUGGUUUAAGGGAAGUUUGAGUCCUAUCUUGACUCCUUGUUGGGUCAAGAUUUGGGCCGGUAGAGGGGCUGAAUGGCUAUGGAAUUGGGUGCAUCCAAUUGAUUUAAAAAUUUGAUCCAAAGUAUUGGAUCAAGAUGAUCAUAAAUUAGAUCCAAAGAGUUGGAUUUAAGAGAUCAUAUUUUAGAUCUAAAGGGUGGUUCCUAAUGUCCAAAUGUUGGAUAGCAAAAAGGGCUAAUGGAUGAUAGAGAUUUACCUAUCCAUGAGAGGAAAGAAAGGUGUAAGAAUAACACCAAAGGUUGUGAUACAUUGCAAGAAGCAGCUGCUGAUUUUCUUGAAAAGAAAUUCAAUGAAUCCAAAUCGAAGAGAGUCCUAGAUCGAGAUGCGUAUGGAUCAUCGUUGAAGGGUGCAUGCUUGAGUACCUCGAGGAUACUGAUUAUCACGAUAUUCGGAUCUACAUAUUUGACAUAACAUUUCUAAUCUCUCAUUUGUAUGCUUUAUGUUCAUAUUUGAUUGAAUGUAUCAAGGUGAUUUUAGGAUUAAGGUUCGGAUCAUAUGCUUUCAAUUAUUAUUGCAUGUUAAAUUUUUUUAAAAUUCAUUUCCACUAUGCAUCCAAAUCUCAAAAGUGGUAUUAGAGCUAUCCUUGAUUGAUUCAAUCAAAUGGCAUGUUAUUGUUGUGAUAUAGAUUAGAUCGAAUUCAUGAUAUGUCAAAAUCAGUUUUUUUGAAUGAUGUUUAAUUGCUGAUUUGUUGCAUCCUUCGAUAAAAAUAAAAGUUAUUUGUCCAUGAUCGAACCUUGACAUGCAAUUCCAUGGUCUAAAAACUUGUGUGUCAAGUUUGGCCAAGAUCUGAUGAUUUGAAAUUUUCAUGAAAUUACUGCCUUAUGCAUGUGAUGCGUAAGGUGAAGGGUUGUGACAUGUGAUGUACAUACCCAAGACCCAGAGCCGACCACUAUAGGUUAGGCAUUGGUCAUGGUGGGGUCUUCCAUCAUGAUUCUUGAUCUAAUCAUGUGGGCGACUGAAAAUUUAUAUCAUGAAAGAGAUGCUUCAAACUUGGAUUAGAGUUUUUAUCGUUGGGUUUGUUUUGACUACAAUUCAUUGACCUAAUUUGAUUAGGAUUUAUGAUUGUAGAUCAAAUCAGAUUCAUAAUUCUAAUUUAAUUAAAAAUUAUGUUCAAUUAAAGUUAACUAAUUGCAAACCUAAUUGGAUUAGGGUUUGUUUAAGAAUUGAUUAACUUAACUCAAAAGGAUGACAUGUAGAUGACUUAUAAUUAGAAUUAGAUCAAGAGUUAAAUCCAAAUCAAAACCUUAGAUGGGUCUUACACCCAUGAAUUUAAACAUCUCAAAUGACAUAUGCAUGAAUGAUAUUACAAUUAGAAUAAUAUAGAUUGAUUAUUAUCAUGUUUUAUAUAAUUAUUAUAUAUUACAUGAUGGAUAGUUAUGGACAAAGGACACCCAUGUAAUGGAUGUAUUUGUGAAUGUUUCUGUGAUGGCUGAUUGUAUGUAUGAUCUGUAAUGAUUGUAAUUUUUAAAUAGGGGCUGGGUGCUCCUGAUGUAUUAUAUUUUCAACUAUAUCCUUCUGUUCCUAUCUUUAUAUGUUUCCAACUGCUAAUUGAGAUUUUUAUAUAUUGAUGUAAAAUUAAAGAUAGAAAAUUUUAUUUAUAAAUAGAUAAAAAUUAUUUUUUAUAUUUAUAAAUAAAAAAAAGAAGAUAGAACAUUCAUUGAAGCCUUCAUGGAGAUGAAGAUUGGACUACCAGGCAGACUGAGAGUGGGAGCGCAUAAAGAUUGAUAAUGAGAUGGUUCUAUCUGUUAUGCACCUAGAAUGAGACCCGUCAUCUAUCCAAGUGGCUAGGGUGAAUUACAUUAGAAAAGUCCAUAACCAUCUGAUUUCUUUAUAUGCUCUCUUAUGCUGGUAGUUAGAAAUUUAUAUAUACUACCUGUAAUAUAUAUAUGUCAUGGAUGUGCCUGAGAUCGAAGUUCCUUAUUAAAAUUAUAUUAAGUCAUAAUGACGAAGUGUUAAGAAUACUACCUAUGCCUUGUUGAAAAUUGUAUGCUAAAAUCAAUCAUCAGCCUAUUGACGGUUGAACUAAUUAUUGUAAUUAUUUAAAUUAUUAAAAUAAUAAAUAUUAUUUAAUUUUUUUAUCACUAUAUGUACAUAUUAUCUGAGCUUCUGUUUUGUGAUGAAGUCCUUCAGACUAUUUGAAUAGAUAUAGGAGAAUAUAUCAUUUAGUCCUUAAACCUAGUUCAAGGCCAAAUGAUAUGCUAUUAUUAGGACGAUAGCUAUAUCAAGUAUAGAUCGUUGUGUGCCAUGUGGGUUAGUUGUCCUCUUAAUCAAGGAGUGUGGGGAUACUGACAUGACAUGUAAGUGAGACAUAGGGGUAUAUCUCACUGAAUGUGAUCAACUACUGAACACUCUACUGUCAAGAGUAGCUCACGAAGGAUAUAGAUAUAAGUGUUCCUCCGAUCUGAGAUCACCAUGGUGACUUACAAGCAACUCAUUGUGCUUUAGUAUCGGACUACCUAAAUUUCUAAUUCGAUGAUGAAAGACUUUUGGAUACAGUCAAGUACUUACGAAGUUGGUGGUGAGUCAAGAUGGAAUUAAUUCCUCUGAAUAAGUAGAAGUUAAUGCAUCAGUGUGUUUCAAUUCAGUAAAACGUCAGUUGGGAUAAUCCAUGUGAUGGAUUUGAAAGUAGAAAUACAAUGUGGAUGAUCUUUUUAGGAUUGACAGUUAAAUUCUCGAUCACCUUGAGUAUUAGGGUCAAAAAAAUAAAUUAUACGUUAACAAUAUGUCAAUAGGUUCUUGAAUAUUGCUUUGCAAUCUUUCGACCUAUCCGGACGUCGUGUACCAUUACUAGAUGGUCACUUUGAUUGGUAUAGGAAGAUUAUUUCUGUGCUAUCACUUUAGAUUCGAACCUAUGGGAUCACACUCAAAAAAAGUUUCUGACUGAUCAUAUGGCUGAUCGACGAUUAAGAAUCGUUCUAGGAUAUAAUCAUCAAUUCGAUUGAUGAUUAACUUUAUGCAAAAGUUAUAAUAAAUUAAUUUAUUAAUUAUUGAUAAAUUAUAAGAUGAUUGAUUAGUAAUAAUAUUGCUAAUUAGCUCAAUUUAAUUGAGUAUUGAGGUUUGAAUCAAAUCUAAUUGAAUUAUAUUUAUUUGAUUUGACCUGAUUAGGUUAUGAGAUGACUUAAUUGCUAAAGAUGUUCAAUUUCUGAUUUGAUCAAAAUUUGAACUCGAUUAAUUUUUUAUUUAAUUAGAAUUUAUUCAAGACUAUUUGUUAUCCAAUUAGAUUAGGAUCAAUGGUCUAAUUGGGUCUAACCUAAUUCGGUUGGAUUAAGAACUUAAUUGGAUAAGAAUUUGAAUUCAAAUUCGAAUUAAACCAACCCAUGUGCCACCUCUUCUCUGCACCCACCUUUUCUUCAUGCAAGAAAGGUUCCUAUGCGAAUAUUUUUCAUGCCCAGAAGCACCUUGCCAUCCCCUUCUCUGGUUCCUUUUGGAUGAGAAAAGUUGGUUCUUUAUUCGAAUUUAAAUCAUUUGAAAUUUGAUUAGAAAUAAUCUUACACUUAUCUUUAUCCAUACCUUAGUGCCAUCACCUUUGAAAGGCUGAAGUUUAUGCGACAAAUUAUGAAGUAAAUGGCGUAAGAAAUAUCUCAUGCCUUAGCUCUUAUGGCACCCCACUUGGAUAAAGAUAGCUGGUUGAGUUUCAAAUUCAAAUUGGUUUGAAUUUGAACUACAUCUAACCACUUUAUUCUUAUCCCUUUGCCUCUCCACACCACUUUAAAAUCUCCUCUCAUUUUGUGUGACAAAAUGAUUGAAUUUUAUUAUGAAAAAUCUCUUCUGAGAGAGAGGGGGCAUGAAACAGAGAGGGGGUGGGCUUCUGUGUGUGAGAAACAGAGGUAGAGACCUUCCUCUUUGGGUGUGAGGUGUAGAGUAGGUUCUAAAGUUUUGACUCUAGAUUUUUAUGUGACAAGAAAUACAAGAGGAUCUUGUUCCAAUCUCCCACACCACCACCUCCUCAUGUAGCUCCAUCCUCUAAUCCAAAAAAGUCCGGAUGACCCAAAUGAAGAAGCUUGUUCCAGCCAUCCAGUUCCUUCUGUGCGAGCUAGCACUUCCGAAAAGGAUGAUCUGAUCAGGACUUCGAGUGGACAAUCUGUUGAGGUCAGACGAGUUGUACGGCUACUCGAUAUUAGAAAAAAUCUCAUACCAUACCUAUCAGUAGUGACUAUCAUCGAUCCACACAAAGAUAAUGAGUUUUGAACUCGCUGACUAGAUCUAACGGUUAGAUCUGAUCUAGGGCAUCGAUGUGAUCGAUGCAGUUUUUUUUUAUAUCAAUUUUUUUUUGUAUGCAAAUUUUAUAUCAUGGAUCCUUAGUAGGUAGUUUAGAUUUGAUCUAAAGCAUACUUAGGAGAUUAAAAUAUUUAAUCUACUAUCUUUUGCUGUAUAAAAUUUUUAAAAUGCAUGCUUUGAACUGUCGAUUUUUCUUCAAAUGGUAUCAGAGCUUUGUUGCUUUUGACAUGAAUAUUUUGCAUAUAAUCUGAUUUUAAUCUAAUUUUAAUUAUUUAGAUUAGAUCUAAAUAAUUAAUCUUGAAUCUGAGUAGUAUAGUAAUCGAAUUGGAUAGAUCUCUGUAGCCAUCCGGUCAUAGGAGAAAGUAGGAUUUAUAGCCCUCUUUUUCCAUUUAAUGGGAUUUUUCUAUGACGUGUGGGGGUACUUCAUGAUUUUUUUUAUGAAGAUGAACAACAAAAAGAGUUAAAAAUUUUUAUUUUAGAUCUGAUAUAUUGUAUAUUAGAUCUGAAAUUAAAAUUUAUUUAAUUAUAUGACAGUUUAUAAAAAUAUUUUAUAAAAUUUGAAACUAUUUUCAAAUACUUUGAACUCCAACCCAUAUUAGUCUAAAACUUAAUUAAGAAUUAAGUGAUCUAGUUUUGAGAAUCAAAGAUCUAAGAUAUAAAUUUUAUAAAUCAUGGAUUUAUGGUUUAGCUAGAAUCAGGUCCGUUUAACUGGAUUAGACUUAAGGUUAGAAAUUAUUGAUAAUGGACUAUAUUAGUAAUUGAUCAAAUCUAAUUAAUGGUUAAUUUUGAUUGGGUCAAUUUUUCUCUUGAUCAAUUCUCAAUAGUUAUAUUUGGACAGAGUCCAUGUCUUUGAUUAGAUCAAGAUGGACCUUGAUCGUAGCUCCAUGGUCGAACUCAAGACUAUAAGUUGAUUGAAUUGAAACUGACUAAUCAAUUGAUGUCUAAAAUAAAUAUGGCAGUUUUGAUCGGUGGUCAUUAAUUGAAAACUACUCGCACAGAUUGAAUCUAUGACGAGUUAAUGGCAUAUCCCUCUCAUCGAUCUCACUUAUCUGAUCAAUAUGAUGAAUCAUAUUUUGAUCAGAUCACUUAAUGAUUCAGGUUAAACCAUGCUGACUAGAAAAUCAAUAUGACUGAUUUAGGUGCCCCUAGUUUGACUUGUCUAAAGUCCUCUUCAUAACUUGGUGAAGUUAGUGAGAAGAUUUAUAGCUAAUUGGCUGGACCAACUUAUGCCUAAUCUUCUUUGAUCUGACUUGGUGAAAUCAGUGGGAGGAUUAAGAUUAACUGAUCAAGUCUUUUCUCAUCUUUCAUUUUAUCUAACUAAAUCCUCUAAAAUUAUUAAAUCUUUAAAAAUAAAAUAGUUAUGGUGAUAACUAGAUCAUAGCCUCCCAUUAAGUUGGAUGAUAAUAGGUCCAAUAGUUUAAAUAAUUAUUGAAGGCGCCACACACUUGAUGCUCAUUUGGCUGUCAAAAUUAUCAUUCAUAAUAUGUGAUUUUGAGGUGUUUGAUGGCCAAAACUUUAAAAAAUUAGUGAUCCGAAUAUCAUGGACUAACCUCUGGAGCUCAAAGGGCAACCCCUAUGUCAACCCUGAGAGAAAGAGCAGCUGGCAAACUUGGCAUGCCUCUGGGGAUGACCUAAAUAUCGACUCCCAUGCUAAAGGGCGAUACUAGUGUCAACCCCUAUUGUACCAUAUGUAAAAAUAGAGAGUAGUUUUACUAUUUUUUUAUAGGAGGCAACCUUGAUGUCAACCCCUAAUUAUAGGAGAUGACAUCAAUGUUGAUUCAUGUGCCUUGACAAUUCACAAUGGCUAGUUCUUUAACUUGAAAAGUUGCAUUUAAUGUCCUCCAAUCACUCUAUAAUAUUCUCUAAUGGUAAGUAUUGACUCUCUAGCAAUCUUUCAGCUUAAACAGGCUUUCAAAUGGUAGAAAAACAUAAUAAGAAUAAAAAAAAAAAUCUUUCAAGGAGAUUGAGCAUUCAUUGUGAAAAGUAUUCACUCCACCUUCCACCACCACUUCAAAGAGCUUCCACUAAGCAUUUCCAACUGAAGGGUGUGUUUAGGAGGCUUCUUCAAUCAUUUAUAAAGUGCUUUAGUUAUCUUUAUUAUGCUUGUGAAAGAGCUUGAUUAUUCUCAUUGUUUAACUCUUGUAUCUUUUGUACUUAUGAGAAUAAGUUCCGAAUGAGCUAAAACUUGGAGAAUAGAUUGAUCUGUAUCUUGAAACAGUGUAUAGGGCUUGCUUAUGCUCAGACAAUAAGUGCCUAGCUUAAAAAUAGCUAAAAUUUUUGGUCAGUGGGAUCCAAUGUUAUAAUCAUUUGCAGAUGAUUAGUGGAUUAAAAUUUUUAAAUAUGGAGAUUGAGCACUGGAUGUGGGUGCUCAGAUUGAUCCUUGGUAUUUGUGAUGCUUUGAUUGCUUUCAUUGUUUACUUGAUUCUUUAUCUUGCAUAUCACUUGUGCUUGACACUAUACAUCACUUAUACUUUGAAAAACAAAUUUGUUGUUGUACAUAGCUCUAAAAAUCCACCCCCAUCCCCUUUCCCCCCCCCCCCAACCCCCUCGUGGGUUUGUUAGCUAAGCAACAUAUUUCUUUAACCUAGGCUACACUAUUUAGAUAUAAAUGCAUCAAGAGAGGAUUGGUGUGCGAUUCACGAGAUCAGUGCCACACUGGCAUUCAUGAUGAUAUUAAUGGCAUAAAGCAGCUAUUUCCCACUUCAUGCACAUGGUGUGGUGGUUUUACACACACACACACACACACAUACAUAUACACACACACACACACACACAUAUAUAUAUAUACAUACAUACACAUAUAUAUAUACAUAUAUAUAUAAGGCUAUAUUGUAUAAUAUUAUUUAAUAGAUAUAAUAUUUUAUAAUAUUAUAUUUAUAAUAUGAUAUGAUAGAUGUAACUAUUGGAUUUAUUCUUGGGCAUCUUGGUCACCAUAAAAGUUUCACUAAAGCCAAAAAUGCUUCUUAAUUUUUACUAGAAAACACUUUUGGGAAGAAAUUUAAAAAUAAAGUUUUUUCCAAAUCGGCCUUUUCAACUUUCUAGUGAAGUCAAAAUAAUUUUCAGAUUUUAUACUAAAUACCACUAUAUCAUUCAAAAUAUUUUUGGAGGACCAGAAAGUACUUUCUAACUCUCCGAAAGCUUUACCAAACGAGGCCUCAAUGCCUACUAGAGCAACAAUGUCAAGAAAUCUUGGAAAUGAAGUUGCAACAUGUUGGCUGCCACUGUGUUAACCUAUAUGGUUGGAAAGAAAAAUAGGGCAUCCAAUGGAGAUAUACUGCCCUUAAUGAAUCUCCUCAAGAAAAAGAAGACAUUGAAGGCCUAGCUAGUGUUUGUUCCAUAUAAGAGGAUCAAGACUGUUUAGAGGUUCCUAUUUUCCUGCUCCACUUAUAAUUUUACUCUCUUUUGUUGACAGAAUUAUUUAUGAACUAUGUGCCUAUUACUUCAGAUGGUAUUGCUAACAGUGCACUCAACGAUGUGGAAAAGCCUUAUAUUUAAAGCUACAAUACACUAAUGAAGUCUUGAUUGGUACACUUAGUAUUGAACAUUCUGCUCUUGUAUAAUAUGUGUGUAAUCCUAUGCAAGUUGUCCAGGGAAUAAGUUGUAUUUAGGUGGGCCAUGGAUGUGAAUGAUGUUUGAGGAAUCUUAUCUUUUCCAACCCAAUUGUGGUUAUAAAUCUUCCUAUGUUUGCUCUCCUCUGUAGGUCACCCUCUACAUGUCAUGGAACAGGACACUAUGGACAAAGGUCUCAUAAUUGUCUCCACCUCCAGCCGAUAUGCCUCACAAUAUCAAUGAUGUUACUGACACUGCUGUGUGUGUGUUUAUAUUAUUAUUAUUAUUAUAUAUAUAUAUAUAUAGAGAGAGAGAGAGAGAGAGAGAGCAAUUCGGAUUCUGCUAUCUGACCCUCUAUUACAAGGGACGACAUGUUAAAAAUAUUUUAAAAGCCUAAUUGCGUCAGAUAAUCCUUCUCAAGAUCUACACUACUAGAUCCAAUCCUCGUGCUGGUAGGUCGAUGGUACUAUAUGGUAUGGUGAAUACCAACAAAAAGGAAUUGGCAGCAAAGGGGGAGAAAGAGAAGGACAAAGAGGAAAAGAGAGCGAGGGAGAGGGAGAGGGAGAGGGAAGGCUUUCAAAGUCCUCUCAGCUCCAUAGCUUUGGAACAAGCAUUCCAAACGGUGGCUCCCUUCCAUUUUUAUUUUGUUUUUAAAAUUUUUUAAGUGAAGUAGCCGGGUUCACUGAAAAAAUUUCGAAAAAAAAUAGAGAUGGAGCCUCGCGCCUUCCGCCUCUCUUGAUCUCUGCCACACUCUCCCUCUUUUUCUCAUUUAUUUCGUUCUCUCUCUCUCUCUCUCUCUCUCUGUUUCUCAAACCAAGAGGAAGAACCAUGCUGGUCCGCCCCCAUUAAAUGAACCACAUAUCAUCCAAUUCGUAACAGUACAACAUACUCUGAUU